AACGUACGCUGGCGGCACGCCUAACACAUGCAAGUCGAACGAAGUAGCAAUACUUAGUGGCAGACGGGUGAGUAACAUGUAGGUAUCUGCCCUUUGGCCUGGAAUAACACGAGGAAACUUGUGCUAAUACCGGAUAAGUCUUUACAGAGAAAGCUUUAUGCACCAUUGGAUGAGCCUGCACUUGAUUAGUUUGUUGGUGGGGUAAUGGCCUACCAAGACUGUGAUCAAUAGCUGAUUUGAGAGGAUGAUCAGCCACAUUGGGACUGAGACACGGCCCAAACUCCUACGGGAGGCAGCAGUGGGGAAUCUUGCACAAUGGAGGAAACUCUGAUGCAGCGAUGCCGCGUGAGUGAAGAAGGCCCUUGGGUUGUAAAGCUCUUUCGUCGGGGAAGAAAAUGACUGUACCCGAAUAAGAAGGUCCGGCUAACUUCGUGCCAGCAGCCGCGGUAAUACGAAGGGACCUAGCGUAGUUCGGAAUUACUGGGCUUAAAGAGUUCGUAGGUGGUUGAAAAAGUUAGUGGUGAAAUCCCAGAGCUUAACUCUGGAACUGCCAUUAAAACUUUUCAGCUAGAGUAUGAUAGAGGAAAGCAGAAUUUCUAGUGUAGAGGUGAAAUUCGUAGAUAUUAGAAAGAAUACCAAUUGCGAAGGCAGCUUUCUGGAUCAUUACUGACACUGAGGAACGAAAGCAUGGGUAGCGAAGGGGAUUAGAUACCCUCGUAGUCCAUGCCGUAAACGAUGUGUGUUAGACGUUGGAAAUUUAUUUUCAGUGUCGCAGGGAAACCGAUAAACACACCGCCUGGGGAGUACGACCGCAAGGUUAAAACUCAAAUGAAUUGACGGGGACCCGCACAAGUAGUGGAGCAUGUGGUUUAAUUCGAAGAUACGCGCAGAACCUUACCAACACUUGACAUGUUCGUCGCGACUCUAAGAGAUUAGAGUUUUCGGUUCGGCCGGACGAAACACAGGUGCUGCAUGGCUGUCGUCAGCUCGUGUCGUGAGAUGUUGGGUUAAGUCCCGCAACGAGCGCAACCCUCACUUUUAGUUGCCAUCAUUAAGUUGGGCACUCUGAAAGAACUGCCAGUGAUAAGCUGGAGGAAGGUGGGGAUGACGUCAAGUCCUCAUGGCCCUUACGUGUUGGGCUACACACGUGCUACAAUGGUAUCUACAACAGGAAGCAAGACUGCGAAGUUAAGCAAAUCCCUAAAAGAUACCUCAGUUCGGAUUGCACUCUGCAACUCGAGUGCAUGAAGCUGGAAUUACUAGUAAUCGUGGAUCAGCGUGCCACGGUGAAUGCGUUCCCGGGUCUUGUAUACACCGCCCGUCACACCAUGGGAGUUGGUUCUACCUUAAGGCAAGGUUUCAAACCCUUGACCACGGUAUAGUCAGCGACUGGG
rnacentral:rRNA from 1 species